rnacentral:rRNA from 1 species
GAUGAACGCUGGCGGCGUGCCUAAUACAUGCAAGUCGAGCGAACAGAUAAGGAGCUUGCUCCUUUGACGUUAGCGGCGGACGGGUGAGUAACACGUGGGUAACCUACCUAUAAGACUGGGAUAACUUCGGGAAACCGGAGCUAAUACCGGAUAACAUUUGGAACCGCAUGGUUCUAAAGUGAAAGAUGGUUUUGCUAUCACUUCUAGAUGGAUCCGCGCCGUAUUAGCUAGUUGGUAAGGUAACGGCUUACCAAGGCGACGAUACGUAUCCGACCUGCGAGGGUGAUCGGCCACACUGGAACUGAGACACGGUCCAUGCGCCUACGGUAGGCAGCAGUAGGCAACGUGCCGCAGUGGGCGAAAACCUGACGGAGCGGCGCCGCGUGAGUGAUGAAGGGUUUCGGCUCGUAAAACUCUGUUAUUAGGGAAGAACAGAUGUGUAAGUAGCUGUACACUGCGUGACGGUACUGAAUCAGAAAGCCACGGCUAACUACGUG